GAUAUACUCCCUCCGUCCGGAAAUACUUGUCCUAGAAAUUGAUAAAAUAGAUGUAUCUAUAACUAAAAUAAGUCUAAGUGCAAACAUUUCGAGGACAAGUAUUUCCGGACGGAGGGAGUACUUA
rfam:Triticum aestivum genome assembly, contig: Triticum_aestivum_CS42_TGACv1_scaffold_485154_6AS